rnacentral:ncRNA from 2 species
AACUUAUCAAGAGAGGUGGAGGGACUGGCCCUAUGAAGCCCAGCAACCAGUAUUAUUUCAUUUAAUAAUACAGUGGUGCUAAUUCCAACGGCGUAUGCUGAAAGAUGAGGA